AAGUCGUAACAAGGUUUCCGUAGGUGAACCUGCGGAAGGAUCAAUACGAAGAGUGGAGAGAGGGGAGGAUUUGUUGAAAGAGAUAUAGACAAUAUUAUUACAUUUUACACACACAACACACACACAACUCAUAACAAUGGAUCUCUGGGCUCUU
rnacentral:misc_RNA from 1 species